rnacentral:rRNA from 1 species
UGUUUCGGCAAGGGGGUCAUCCCGACUUACCAACCCGAUGCAAACUGCGAAUACCGGAGAAUGUUAUCACGGGAGACACACGGCGGGUGCUAACGUCCGUCGUGAAGAGGGAAACAACCCAGACCGCCAGCUAAGGUCCCAAAGUCAUGGUUAAGUGGGAAACGAUGUGGGAAGGCCCAGACAGCCAGGAUGUUGGCUUAGAAGCAGCCAUCAUUUAAAGAAAGCGUAAUAGCUCACUGGUCGAGUCGGCCUGCGCGGAAGAUGUAACGGGGCUAAACCAUGCACCGAAGCUGCGGCAGCGACACUAUGUGUUGUUGGGUAGGGGAGCGUUCUGUAAGCCUGUGAAGGUGUGCUGUGAGG